UGGGGAAUAUUGGACAAUGGGCGCAAGCCUGAUCCAGCCAUGCCGCGUGAGUGAUGAAGGCCUUAGGGUUGUAAAGCUCUUUUGUCCGGGAAGAUAAUGACUGUACCGGAAGAAUAAGCCCCGGCUAACUUCGUGCCAGCAGCCGCGGUAAUACGAAGGGGGCUAGCGUUGCUCGGAAUCACUGGGCGUAAAGGGCGCGUAGGCGGACUUUUAAGUCGGAGGUGAAAGCCCAGGGCUCAACCCUGGAAUUGCCUUCGAUACUUGGGCAGUCUUGAGUUCGGAAGAGGUUGGUGGAACUGCGAGUGUAGAGGUGAAAUUCGUAGAUAUUCGCAAGAACACCGGUGGCGAAGGCGGCCAACUGGUCCGAAACUGACGCUGAGGCGCGAAAAGCGUGGGGAGCAAACAGGAUUAGAUACCCCUGGUAGUCCACGCCCGUAAAACGAUGAAUGCCAGCCGUUGGGGAGCUUGCUCUUCAGUGGCGCAGCUAAACGCUUUUAAGCAUUUCCGCCUGGGGGAGUACGGUCGCAAGAUUAAAAACUCAAAGGAAUUGACGGGGUCAUAGCUGUUUU
rnacentral:rRNA from 1 species